rnacentral:tRNA from 1 species
UCUUUCGAGAGGUAACCUCAUUCAUGAAUCCUAAACUCAUUGUACUUAUUCUACCACCGAAAG